GACGAACGCUUGCGGCGUGCUUAACACAUGCAAGUCGAACGGAAAGGCCCUGCUUUUGUGGGGUGCUCGAGUGGCGAACGGGUGAGUAACACGUGAGUAACCUGCCCUUGACUUUGGGAUAACUUCAGGAAACUGGGGCUAAUACCGGAUAGGAGCUCCUGCUGCAUGGUGGGGGUUGGAAAGUUUCGGCGGUUGGGGAUGGACUCGCGGCUUAUCAGCUUGUUGGUGGGGUAGUGGCUUACCAAGGCUUUGACGGGUAGCCGGCCUGAGAGGGUGACCGGCCACAUUGGGACUGAGAUACGGCCCAGACUCCUACGGGAGGCAGCAGUGGGGAAUAUUGCACAAUGGGCGGAAGCCUGAUGCAGCAACGCCGCGUGCGGGAUGACGGCCUUCGGGUUGUAAACCGCUUUCGCCUGUGACGAAGCGUGAGUGACGGUAAUGGGUAAAGAAGCACCGGCUAACUACGUGCCAGCAGCCGCGGUGAUACGUAGGGUGCGAGCGUUGUCCGGAUUUAUUGGGCGUAAAGGGCUCGUAGGUGGUUGAUCGCGUCGGAAGUGUAAUCUUGGGGCUUAACCCUGAGCGUGCUUUCGAUACGGGUUGACUUGAGGAAGGUAGGGGAGAAUGGAAUUCCUGGUGGAGCGGUGGAAUGCGCAGAUAUCAGGAGGAACACCAGUGGCGAAGGCGGUUCUCUGGGCCUUUCCUGACGCUGAGGAGCGAAAGCGUGGGGAGCGAACAGGCUUAGAUACCCUGGUAGUCCACGCUGUAAACGGUGGGUACUAGGUGUGGGGUCCAUUCCACGGGUUCCGUGCCGUAGCUAACGCUUUAAGUACCCCGCCUGGGGAGUACGGCCGCAAGGCUAAAACUCAAAGGAAUUGACGGGGCCCCGCACAAGCGGCGGAGCAUGCGGAUUAAUUCGAUGCAACGCGUAGAACCUUACCUGGGUUUGACAUGGAUCGGGAGUGCUCAGAGAUGGGUGUGCCUCUUUUGGGGUCGGUUCACAGGAGGUGCAUGCCUGUCGUCAGCUCGUGUCGUGAGAUGUUGGGUUAAGUCCCGCAACGAGCGCAACCCUUGUUCACUGUUGCCAGCACGUUAUGGUGGGGACUCAGUGGAGACCGCCGGGGUCAACUCGGAGGAAGGUGGGGAUGACGUCAAGUCCUCAUGCCCCUUAUGUCCAGGGCUUCACGCAUGCUACAAUGGCUGGUACAGAGAGUGGCGAGCCUGUGAGGGUGAGCGAAUCUCGGAAAGCCGGUCUCAGUUCGGAUUGGGGUCUGCAACUCGACCUCAUGAAGUCGGAGUCGCUAGUAAUCGCAGAUCAGCAACGCUGCGGUGAAUACGUUCCCGGGGC
rnacentral:rRNA from 1 species